rnacentral:lncRNA from 1 species
ACAUUUGCCAAUGUAGUGUUCCAGACAGUUUUAUCAUCCACAUUGCUGACCUGGAAGAUGCAUCAUUGUCUAUGAUAUCUGCAAUGGAAAUGAUCACUAGGCAAUUUCAGCCUUGCAAAUCUAACUGUGGCGUGUGGAAAGAAGAGGAACCAGAAAAGAAUGUUUGUGAAGUUCUGGCUUGAAUCUCGUGCCGGGAGUGUGAAGAAGGUCCUUGCUUCCCCUUCACCUUCUGCCAUGAUUCUAAGUUUCCUGACGCCUCCCAGCCGUGCUUCCUGUUAAGCCUGUGAAACUCCUUUGGAAUGAGUACACAUCCAGGAGUGAAGAAGACAAGCUCAACUGCCAUUCUCUGAGCAGUUCAAGGCAUACUGAGUUGCGGGAGUUGUGUGGUGGUCCACUCUGACUGCAAGCACCCCUUUCUUGAACCGAACAGAGUCAAGUGGAAUCAAAGGACAUUACCUGUUGAUUCUUGGGCAAGGCCCAGAAUUUGGUGGACAUACUUAAAGAAGAAAGGAAUCUUCAGCUAAAGUGUCUACGAUCAAUUCAGAUUUGGAGGGCAUGGAUCUUCUGACAGUAGGGGCCAUUCUAGGAUUUUUUGGUUGAAGAGAUGAACUUCAACUUGGUUCCAGAUGGGUGGUCCAGCUAUUCUGCUGACAACAUUUUUCAGGGCAAGGCUUUUGCUACUGGAAUGAUUUAAGGAAGAUCCCUCAGUGUUUCAGAGUAAAGAUAUUUCUAAAGAAGUACCUGUGUCAUUGCCCAUCUUGAAGAUUGACUUUUAUGGAUUGCUCAAAUACUGAUAUCAGCUCAAUGUCAAUAUAUACUCCUACAUAUAAAAUCCAUCUUCUAAUCAUAAUCACUAGGUUUUAACCAUUUAAGGCCAUGAGGUGUGAGGUCUUUUGAGAGUGAAAGAACUCAUAUUAAUCCAGCUCCUGACUCCUAAAAAAACAGUAACUCUUGUAAUUAAAAUGGGCAGAGUCCAUCAAGAAGCAGUGUCCAGAAGCACUGGGCCAUGUGGCGAGCAGCAGUGUCACCAGGAAACAUGCCGAGCUGGGUCAGGAACUGCGCAAGGAGGAGGAGACACUGCUCCUGUUGAAGGCAGCCCUCGCAUGACCUGCUGAAUCACAUCAAGGUUGAAGCAUUGGCCCUCCAAUCAAUGAUUAGUUCUGGGAGAGGGGAUGAGGUGCUGUCUUCUCCAACUUCUCCAACUGUGCCUGAACAGUCACACGUCAUGUCAGUGCAUAUAGAGAAUGAAGCAUCAGUCAACCAAACUACGCUGGAGUGGAGCAUAGAGUCCUGUGACAGAAGAGGAGGAGGAAGAGAAAGAAGAAUCAGAUCCCUAAAGGAGGGAAAAAGCCAGGAUUCAUUAUACAAAUUAAAUUUCUAAGUCUCAGGCUCUUUCUCCCCAAGGAAAUCAUCUUGCCAUGAGCCCUAGGGCCUGCUUGAAUGGAGAGCAAGAACUAUAGGAGGAUGUGUAGCUGCAAAAAUUUCUCAUCAAUAACUCAAUCUUCAGAACGUUAUGACAUACAGAAAAUCAAAGAUGCUGUGUCUUAGCAUUGAGCAAUAUGGGUGGUGCUAUGUCUGUAGUCUGGUCAAAUUCAGUAACUGUGUUCAAAACAAAAUUUCCUCUGGAAUACUAUUGAGAAAAUCUGGCAUUUGCAAAAAGGGCAGAGUUUAAAUAUGAGCCAGUCUUUCCAAUCAACAAUACCUCUUUUAAGAAAACCAACUAACAGCUGUUUGCAUGCCGUUGAAUCCUUGUGAGCAGUUAGGCCACAGUCUAGGACAGAAAGAUGACACGGGGAAGGACUGAGGGCCAUCUGAGAACAAAAGUUGUUGCUACUUCUCAGAGGCAUUGAGACACACUGCAUGCUGUAGACUGCUUUGUGUAACUGUUGUCACAUCUUGCUUGAGAUGUCAUUGGCAGAAUGUUCUUAAAAAUAAAUUAUAGAUAAAUAGCCAUCAUGGAGUUUGCUGGUUUCUAGAUAGCAAAAGAGAAAAGAAGCAGUUCCUGCCUGGCCCGGUGGCUCAUGCCUGUAAUCCCAGCACUUUGGGAGGCUGAGGUGAGUAGAUCACUUGAGGUCAGGAGCUCGAGACCAACCUGGCCAACAUGGUGAAACCCUGUCUCUAUUAAAAAUACAAAAAUUAGCUGGGCAUGGUGGCAUGCGCCUGUAAUCCCAGCUACUCAGGAGGCUGAGGCAGGAUAAUCACUUGAACUCAGGAGGUGGAGGUUGCAGUGAGCCGAGAUUUUGCCAAUGCACUCCAGCUGGGGCAACAGAGCGAGACUCUGUCUCAAAAAAAAAAAAAAAAAAAAAAAAAAAGAAAAAGAAAAAGAAAAAAGAAAAAAAAAAGAAGCAGUUCUUCCUCUAAUGAAAAGAUACAACAAGAUAGUUUGAAAUUCAUUUCUGGCCCUUAGAGAAGAAGUGUGCCAUGCUUGGAAGACUGGAUUUUUAUAACAGAGAUGGCAGCUACAGAAUAAGAGUUGUUGAUACUUGGGAUCUGAAGUAGAGAUCAUUUCUGCAUACUGUCCCUUUUCCACUCACUAUACAGUGAAAUGAGUAGUUGCUGAAUAUUAUAAAAUUAAUUUUCCCUGCCAAAGCAACAGUGAAAGCCAAACAAAAUACAAAUAACCUUCUCAAGCAGAAUUUAUGUAAAAGUUCCCAGAGAAACAUGGAUACCCUUUUUUGUUAAUCAGUAUUUCAUUAAAGUUAUGUUGAGUUACUCUUAGAGAAAACAGACAAAAAAAAUUGCAGCAUAUGUAACAGUUAAAAGAAUUAAUAACUGCAAUAUGUAAAGAGUAACACUAGUUAAUUAGUAAAAACAAAUAACCAAUAAUACAUGGACAAAGAAUAAGAAAUUCACAGAAGAAAUACAGUUAUUAGUGAGAAGCAAUGGCUCACGCCUGUAAUCCCAGCACUUUGGGAGGCCGAGGUGGGCAGAUCACCUGAGGUCAGGAGUUCGAGACCAGUCUGGCCAACAUGGUGAAACCCUGUCUCUACUGGCAAAUACAAAAAUUAGCCAGGUGUGGUGGCGGACACCUGUAAUCCCAGCUACUCAGGAAGCUGAGGCAGGAGAACCACUUGAACCUGGGAGGUAGAGGUUGCAGUGAGCCGAGAUCAGGCCAUUGCACUCCAGCUUGGGCGGGAAGAGUGAAACUCCAUCUCACAAAAAAAAAAAAAAAAAAAGAAAGAAAAGAAAUGCAGUUAUCUAAUUAAACACAUUAACAUUUGCUUAGCUUCUUCACUAGUGCUAAGAGGAAUUAAAGCAAUGAGAUAUGAUUUUUACAAAAAUGGGUAUGAUUUAAAAUCAGUUUUGUCUGAUAGUAUGUUCUGAUGAAACUGUGGGGAAACCAGCAUUCUCAUACAUGCUUGUUGGUGCAUAAACCAACAUGACUAUCUUCAUGGGCAUUUUGGCAAUAUCUGUUAAAGUGAGAAAUAUGCAUUCUCUAUGUCCUUGCACUUUCUCUUUUCCGUAUCUAUCUCAGAAAAAAAAAACAGCCUUAUGAAGUAAAUUUAGGGACACAGUGGAGCAGCUAGCACACAGGUAGAUGCAGAACCAAACCUCUGCUUUGGGCCUUAGUGUCCAAGCCUGGAAACAAAAGGGGUUUGAUUAUGUGAUCUGUAAAGUUUUCUUUAGUUCUAAAUAUUACACAUCUCUUACAUGAAAUUCAGUAAUGAGUGGAUGAAAACAUUUUAAGUAAUCUUCUACUAUUAACAAGUUCAGUGGUUUUAUUUUUAUCAUUUUCUAGAGUAGUGAUUCUUAGAGGUUAAAUUCCUUUCUGUGGAGGUUCUGCAUUCUUCCUUACAUUGAUGAAUAGAAGCUUCUCUAGAAAGAAGCAAAACAAUUUCCAGCAAAAUUAAGUAUGGGUCAGCUACAAUUAUUGAAGACUGUUUACUAACCAAAAAAGGAGCUUAUAAACUGACUUGUGAGCAGCUGUUUUCCAAUGGAACAUUAUUGGUUAUUGAAACCCUGCAACAGGAGAAAACCUGGUCCUAACAUCUAGUUAUGUGUAUCUAUUUUUGAGACCAACUGUAAGAAUUGAUUUGAGCAUCUUGCUUUGGGUUCUUAAAAUAUGUUAUCCCAGACCUUUAAGUACUGUGAAUAAUAAAAACUUCAGAGUCCUAUCUCAAGUUGAUCCUUCUCUUGCAAAAUUACUUUGUCCUGAAAUCUCCCAGCAGAGCACCAGUGCAACUGUCUGGAGCUCAAGCUGGAGUUGGCCAUGUCUGAGCUGUUCUGCAGCCAACUCAGAAUGUAGAUUUCUUUUUCUGUCUGCUGGAUCUAUUCCCUAUAGUCCUUCACCCUGUGUUACAUAGACGAAUUUUGUUAAAAGCUACUCUUUUG